AACAGUAAAGGAGUUCGAGUUCAGCAAGAGCAGCUGCAGGGAGGGCAAGUGGGAGAACAUCCUGUCCUUGACUUCGGAGAAGGUCCCGUUCACCAGGCUCAGCGAGCCGAGCCCGGCGGGCAGGCUGCGCGGCGCCCCGGCCGCCCCCACGCACAGCGCCGACUCUCGCCAGCAGCUGCAGGGCGGCGCGCAGCGCGGCGGCGGCCUCCGCGGGGCGGCGGGCGGCGGCAGCAGCAGCAGCGCGACGGCCCAGAGCGCCAGGAGCCGCAGCGGGCCCGCCAUGCCCGCGCCGCCGUUGCCCGCCGGCCGCCCG
rnacentral:lncRNA from 1 species